rnacentral:lncRNA from 1 species
GGCUGCAUUUGUUACAGAGAGACUGGAGGUGUCCCUUCCAAACUAUUCCUUUUGGACUGUGGUGUGAAAGUCUGCCUGCCAUCUAUGGAGACUUGAAGAGUUUGGUGCUGCAUCCCCGCGGCUUUCCCUACUGGAAGCUGUCCAUCUCUCUUUGUGGUUCCUUCCCUGGUCC